ensembl:lncRNA
CCUGUGUAGAGUUCAUGCUUUAAAAAUAGAUCCUCACGUCAGUUUCCUGCUGUUAAAAUAAUAUUCAGCCCAUUGGUGCAACAUCGCAUCCGUCAAAUAAAGAGACUUCUGUUGCAUUUCACACUUCAGUAUCUUUAUUGUGGAAGCAAACAGAAGUAUUUUACAUAAGUUCACACACACAAGCUUUUAUCUCAGAGAGUGUGAAACAAUGCAGAAAACAAGAGAAUGAAGCAGAAUCAAACUUUAGAAAAUAAAACGCUCAUCUGGUCAUUUCCUUUCUCAUUUUCUCAUGAAAGUGUGUUAACAGUUGUGCAGAAAACAUAUAUUUUUACCAUGAUUUACAGAAGACAUCCAUUAAAAUAUAAUUCAGUGUAACACCUGUUCAUAAACCAAACAAUCUCAUCAGGCUUAUGCUCAGGCACACUCUAAAAAAUGCUUGGAUGUUUAUAAACGUAUGGUUGGUUAAACCAUUGUUUUGGCCAAACACUGGAGAUUAACGCUUACUUUUGAUCAGUUUUUAAUCUUUUGAAAUGGUGAGUUAGGAAAUCUUUACUAGGUCUGGGGUGGAUUUCUUAAAAGUGGUUUCCUGAUCGUGUCACGUGACUUCCUUGUGUGUUAUAUUCCUUCUUUUGUAGCAGAAAUAAACUUUUUCCAUUUCAUUUUGAGUGCAUAAUCAUUAGAUUUCGUUAAAAGACUCUACUCAAGGAUCAAAGUUCAGCCCUCAAAAGCUAAUGAUUUUUUUUCAUUUGAAAUCUUUCCAAGUCUUUGCCAUUGCACACUCUAAAAAAUGCUGGGUUGUUUCAACCCAACUUUGGGUCAAAUAUGGACUAACCCAGCAAUUUUUAACCCAAAAGUUGAGGUUUGGAACAUUGCCAGUUUACAUCGGCAUUCCCUAUAUAUUUAUUAUAUAUAUUUAUCCAUAUAUUUUACCAGAUACAGGUCAGCAUAAGUAUGGUGUUUCACAUAAAUCCGUUGCGCUGAAUGAUUAUUUCACCCAUAUUUUGACAUUUUAUUUGAAAGAUUAAAGCAGACACUUUACUUGUAUUUACUUGUAUUACUUGUAUUUCACAAUUAGUUACUGUCCUCGAGUAUCUUUUUGUAGUUUAACUGAGUAUCAAAUGUAUUAGCAAAUUUUACUCUCUACUUCACUACAUUUUUUUAAUCAAGAUAUGUACUCUUUACUCCAGUACCUUUGUAAAGAUUCAUGCAAUUACUCGUUACAUUCUGCAUGGCACCAGGCUUUUCUGCAGCAGUUUAUUUCUGCUACAAAAGACGGAAUAUUACACAGAGGAAGUCACGUGACACGAUCAGGAAACCACUUUUAAGAAAUCCACCCCAGACCUCGUAAAGAUUUCCUAACUCACCAUUUCAAAAGAUUAAAAACUGGUCAAAAGUUAGUGUUAAUCUACAGUGUUCGGCCAAAACAAUGGUUUAACCAACCAUACGUUUAUAAACACAACUCAAGCUGAAGGAAGUGAUGUAACAGAACUCUAACACACUGAAAAACACACUCUCAAUCAGCAGAAAAACAGAAAAAGUGUAUAUAUAUAUACAUAUAUAUAUAUAUAUAUAUAUAUAUAUAUAUAUAUAUAUAUAUAUAUAUAUAUAUAUAUAUAUAUAUAUAUAUAUAUAUAUAUAUCCCUCCACAUGACUGUACAAUAUGCAUGCAAAUAAACCUUGACAUACUUAUAUAUCCAACUUAAAUAUCCAUAUAAAGAUCUGGCCUAUAACUUACAUGAAUAUUAUAUUAUAACUUACAUGAAUAUUACAAUUUUAAUUACAAUAUACUGUAUGUAUGCAGACAAAAAUUGUACAAACUUAUAAAACCAAUUUUAUAUACAUCUAUACAUACUCUUAGUAUGAUAUACAGAGCUUUUCACUGAACAAAUUUUCACUGAAAGCAACAAAGAUUCAACUGAUCUGAGUGCAUUUCCAUUUAUGCUUUUAGCAGACGUGUUUACAUAGAUUUACUGUAAAUUCAAGCUAUGAAGUUUUUAUUUGAGAAUUGAACUCUUGACUAGUUUAGCUGGUAGAAACGAAUAGGUUACAAUUUACUAUCAACCAACACUACAGGACUUAUGUGUGCAAACCUUUAGACAUUUAUCAGGCCUUUCCCAGGUCUUUCCCCGAACUCGAGGAAUGAAAUUUAAGACAUUAUUAAUGCAAUAUUUAUCUGUAAACAGAAGGUUUUUGUAAACCAGGGUCAUUAAUUAACUGAUUUUGUACAUUCGUGAGGGCAGUUUUUAUCACCACCUUAAUAAUUGUAUCUGUGUUGUCUUUAAUGUCAAAUACUUGAAUUUAACAAAUUACUUCAAUUAAUCAAAAUACUUUAAACUGUUGCCAGUAACAACUGACUGUUUGAAAUCAUAUCUUAAUUAUACAUUUAAAAACAGGAGCCAAUAUGGCUGCAAUAUUAUGACAACAUUCGUUAUUGUCGAUUAUUGCCUCUUGAUAUUGUAAUAAUGAUUAUUAAUACGGAUUAAUGGAAUACAUAUAAAAAUCGCUUCAUCUGGAAAGCAUCCGCUGUGUACAAACAUCUGAUAGACGUCUUUAAGAUGUCAGUUUACAUUCAUUCUAAAUCAUAAACAUCUUAAAGACAUCUUCUAAAUGUCUAUUUGACAUCUGGUAGGAAAUGUCCUAUAGAUGUAUUGCAGAUGAACAAACACUAAAAAAAAAUACGUCUUGCAGAUGUAAUGCAGAGGUCAGAUAGAGUCUCUUUGUGCAAUCAGGGACAUGCAUUCUAAAUCAUAAACAUCUUAAAGACAUCUUAUUAACAUGUAUUUGACAUCUGAUAGGAAACUUCCUAUAGACAUUUUGCAGAUGAACAAACACUCUAAAAAAUACGUCUUGCAGAUGUAAUGCAGACGUCAAAUAGACAUCUCCGUGACGUACGUGUGCUAUCAGGGUGUGUUUUCAUGACUUUUGAACACUUGAGCACAUCGAUCACCUUCUCGAGAUUCAUGAUUAAAAGCUAACUUUCAUGUAUGCUUUUUCUUGCCAUCAUAUAGUCGCAGUUGCAAAUCAAGAAGCGCUAAAAACAGGAGUCCACAGAAGUUUGAGGGAAAAUAAUGUGUGUUUGGUUUCCUCUUUUUUCCAUUGUUUUGCUUACUCAUCUGACAGUUCAGCCCAGACAUGUACGUUAAAGCUCACACUAUACAACCCGUUACACCACAUAUCAACAUUCAGUAUCACUUUUAGCAGACGUGUUUACAUACAUUUACUGUAAAUUCAAGCUGUGAAGUUUUUAUUUAAGAAUUGAACUCUUGACUAGUUUAUCUGGUAGAAACCAAUAGGUUACAAUUUACUAUCAACCAACACUACAGGACUUUAAGCAAUUAUGUGUGCAAACCUUUAAACAUUAUCAGGCCUUUUUGGCCUCUCUCAGGUCUUUCCCUGUACUCGAGGAACAAAAUUUAAGACAUUAUUAAUGCAAUAUUUAUCUGUAAACAGAAGGGUUCUGUAAACCAGGGUCAUUAUUUAACUGAUUUUGUACAUUCGUGAGGGCAGUUUUUAUCACCACCUUAAUAAUUGUAUCUGUGUUGUUUUUAAUGUCAAUUACUUGAAUUUAACCAAUUACUUCAAUCAAUCAAAAUUUUGUCUCAAAAAAAGUUUGUCUCAUGGCUUCAGAGACAAACAUGUCGGUCCAUGACGUUAGACUAGACUAGCACAAGUUGAGCAAAACCUCCCAUUAUAAUAACUGAUGCUAUGAAAUUAAUCUUUUAUUUACAUCGUAUCUGCACUGUUGUUUAUGAUGUGGGUUCAGUGCGGCAAUAUAAUCAACAACAACUCCGGAGUCUUGAGCACUGACUAAUCUAAGCAGCUCUGAUUGGCCAUUGCAUUCCUAAGCUCAACGGAAACGCAUGUGAUUGCUUAUAAAGCUCAACACUGCAAAAUAAAAAAAGCAUAAAAUGCAAUCUGAUGCAGCAUGAGCAGUUCAUUUUAAUCACAACAGCUGUAGUACAUUGUUGCAUUGUGCAGGGGCAAUUUUUGCCCCUUUAUCUUGAAUUUGUGGGGCAUUUUGGUUAAUUUUGGUUGCAUUUUUGCCACAAGCCCCCAUUAACAACAUGUGACUGCUUCAACUCACUCCAGGCGGCCAAAUGCAGAAAUGCAUAACUCAGUCUAGCAAAGCUAAGAUUUUCUGUGACUUUCCGACUUUAAUUGCUUUGAAAUGUUAAUUCCAAAUCACCAAACUGCAUCACGUCUGCAAGAGGUCUGUCAAAGAUCGCUUCAUCUGGAAAGCAUCUGCUGUGUACAAACAUCUGAUAGACGUCUUUAAGAUGUCAGUUUACAUUCAUUCUAAAUCAUAAACAUCUUAAAGACAUCUUAUUAACGUCUAUUUGACAUCUGAUAGGAAACGUCCUAUAGUCGUAUUGCAGAUGAACAAACACUAAAAAAAUAUGCCUUGCAGAUGUAAUGCAGACGUCAAAUAGACGUCUCUGUAUUGUACGUGUGCUAUCAAGGUGUGUUUUCAUGACUUUUGAGCACUUGUGCACAUCAAUCACCUCCUCGAGAUUCAUGAUUAAAAGCUAACUUUCAAGGUUUUUCUUGCCAUCGUAUAGUCGCAGUUGCAAAUCGAGAAGCGCUAAAAACUGAAUUGCACAGAAGUUCAAGGGGAAAUAAUGUGCGAUUGGUUUCCUCUUUUUUCCAUUGUUUUGUUUACUCAUCUGACAGUUCAGCCCAGACAUGUACGUUAAAGCUCACGCUAUACAACCCGUAACACCACAUAUCAACACACAGUACCAUUGUUAACAUGUCAAGCUAAAUAAUUUACAAACGCAAAGAGAUAUGUGCUUUAUAUAACCUAUAAAACUCCCAAAGCCAAACAUAAGUGAAAAUAAGCAUCCGGUUUCUCAGGGAAAGUGCGAUCCUACACGAGUUUUGCUGUGAAACUAGUGUCUCUGUACCUGCGAGUAAACACACUCCUCCUGAAGCUGCUGCUGUGGAGCGUUUGAGUGGUUCGGAGUGAAUGUCACCUCGCCGUACUGAACCUCCUCCUCCUUCUUCUUCUUCUUCCUCUUUGUCUGCGUUCGGACCUCGGAGUAUUCCACAUCAGCAGCCAGGAAAGAUUCUGUGGCGAGAGAGGAGAAAUGAGGACAAGAGAGAAUAUAUAACCAGCAGUGAAAUGACUGGUUUGACUAACUGACAAACAAAGCUUUUCAGGAGUGAAACUAUUUCACUGAGAAUGUAGCAAACAAUAAUGAUAAAAAAAGAUCAAAUCCAGUGCAAGUUAAACUAGCGAUGGGAAGAUCGGAUCAUUUUAAUUUCUCGUUCUCAUUCAAUAAAAUCAACAAUC